rnacentral:rRNA from 1 species
ACGAACGCUGGCGGCAUGCCUAACACAUGCAAGUCGAACGAGAUCUUCGGGUCUAGUGGCGCACGGGUGCGUAACGCGUGGGAACCUGCCCUUAGGUUCGGAAUAACUCCCCGAAAGGGGUGCUAAUACCGGAUAAUGUCUUCGGACCAAAGAUUUAUCGCCUUUGGAUGGGCCCGCGUUGGAUUAGCUAGUUGGUAGGGUAAAAGCCUACCAAGGCGACGAUCCAUAGCUGGUCUGAGAGGAUGAUCAGCCACACUGGGACUGAGACACGGCCCAGACUCCUACGGGAGGCAGCAGUGGGGAAUAUUGGACAAUGGGCGAAAGCCUGAUCCAGCAAUGCCGCGUGAGUGAUGAAGGCCUUAGGGUUGUAAAGCUCUUUUACCCGGGAUGAUAAUGACAGUACCGGGAGAAUAAGCUCCGGCUAACUCCGUG